ACACCAGCGCCACGAGUGGCAACCAAUUUUAUAGGGCCUAAAGCGUUCGUAGCCGGUUCAGUAAAUUUUCUGUGAAAUCGUUGCACUCAAUGUAACGGCAUGCAGGAAAGACUACUGGACUAGGGACCGGGAGGCGUUAGAGGAAUUCUUGAGGGAGCGGUAAAAUGCUAUAAUCUCAGGAGGACCUCCAGUGGCGAAGGCGUCUAACGAGAACGGAUCCGACGGUGAGGAACGAAAGCCAGGGGAGCGAACCGGAUUAGAAACCCCAGUAGUCC
rnacentral:rRNA from 1 species